AAAAGUUCGGUUUUAAACACUUAAACCCACACACACACACGCACGCACAAUUUCAAAGGCUGUAUUCGCGAGUGUUUCAUACAACUUCACAAAAAAACUCGAUUUCACAAUAAAUGGAAUCACAGCCAACACACUGUAUCCAUCAAUACCGAUUUUAAUUCAUUAUUGUUUUUUUUUGUUUUUUUGCAUUAUUUAACACGCAAGGUAUACAAACAAAUGCAGUUCGUUGCAUGUUAUCUGUAACAGCGAUGGAAAUGCACGUUCGUUGCUCAAGUCUUUCGAUUUUUGCCGCCAACAAACCUAACAAAGCUAAACAGUGUUUUCGAAGUUUUUUCUUUUUCGAAAAUUCGUUGUCUUACAAUUGUAAUGUUUUCCUUUUGAAAUUUCUUAUUAACACCAACGUAAAUCUAACCAAGCGCCGCGUUAAAGGCUUUGCAUUUUUUAUAUAUAUAUUUUUUUUUUUGAAAUUGGUUGGGCUAACCGUAGCUGCUGCUGCAAUGUUAUAACAAAAUAGUAAAGGCAAGGAACCGUAUUAAUAAUAAUUAACCAACGCAGAGCUGUGAGCUGAAUUUGGAUUCGCGGUCAAUGCUUACUCUUCUCUAACCCCUUUUCUGUGCUAAAUGUGCGCUUCAUCUACGAAAGUGUAUGGCAAGGAAGAUUUUCGUUUAUGGCUAGUUUAGUUACGCUUUGAUUUAAAGCGCAAAUAAACAUUCAGAGAGAGAGAGUGUGUAUACCUCCUACUACGUGGCAAACUAUUUUUCGAAACGAAAAUUUCCUUUGAAUACACUGGUAGUGCGAAAAUUUAUCCAAGUAUACAAAUAUAUAAAGAGCUUUUUUAACAAUAUUCUCUUAAAUUCAUUAUAUUUCACAGACGCCACCACUUCGGAUUUGCCAGCAGGUGUGCUUUACCGUGUCAAGGCGACCUAUGGCUAUGUGAAGGAGGACGUCGACGAAUUAAGCUUCGAAGUUGGCGAUAUUAUACGAGUUAUUGAGUAUGACGAUCCGGAGGAUCAGGAGGAAGGCUGGUUGAUGGGCCAGAAGGAGGGUACGGACGAGAAAGGUUUAUUCCCUGCUAACUUCACACGGCCGAUCUAGACGACCAAGCGGACAAGCAGCAAACAACAGGAGGCCAGUGCAACGAACAAAAGAGCAUCAAUCAAUAAAAAUAAGUGAAGAAUAAGAAAAGGAAGCAAAACUAUCUACAUCGAGAAUUUAGCACCGAGUUUUAAGCAGAAGUAGACAAUGAAAGGCCGUAAAUACAGUCCAAAAAUGGCGUUAAAUUGACUGCAGCGAAUGCAAGAAUAAUUGUUGUUUUUUUUUUAUAAAUAUUUAUAAAUGAAUUUUCUCUGUAGAAAAAUCUAUGUACACUCUUCUAUCCUAAAGCACACAGAAGCAAUCAAAAAAGCAAACUGACGAAAUUUGCUGUAGAACUUCUGAAUUGGACGCCAACUUUUACAUUUGGACUUACAACAUAUACAAUAGAAUGUAUUAACAUAUAUACGUAUAUUACAUUAUGUAGUAACUACACGCAUACAUACAUAUGUAUACCCAUGCAAAGUGCAUAUAUUUUGUUCUGCUGUCUUAUACAUACAUAUGUAUAUAUUUUUGUUCAUAUUUGCAAUACUACAUAUUUUUAUUUAUAUUGACUAUUUUUGUUUUCAAUUAAAAAAAGAACAGUAAAAAAACUAAACAUUAAAAGCUUUUUUUUUUUUUUUAUGAAUGCAGAAGUUAGUAAAAAUACGCUGUUGAUCACAAUAUUUUUGAGAUCAAAGGAAUCGGCCGGAUUCUGUAUUCAUGCCACGGCAUUAAAAAAAAAAACUUUGUUUUAUGUGAGUUUUCAUUUUAUUUUUCACUCGUGCUUCCUUACCACAUUUCUUGAAUUCAAAUCUUUUACAACAAAAAUGUGUAUUUGAAUUCGAAUUGUAAAUUGAUUAUUUCACUAAUUAAUAAUUAAACAUAUCAGACAGAUUUCGUUUAUCAAAAAAAGUUAAAUCAACUUUUCAGAUGAAAGUCGAUCAAAAAUUUAUUGUUAUUGUUAAUUUUUUAAUAUGUAUACAUAUUAUAUUUUAAUAAAUAAGUUUCACUUGAGAAUGGGUAAAACGGAGUAGGCUAAAAGCGCUAACUAAUAUUUAUUAACAAACUAUUUAUUUACUAUAAAUUUGAAAGAACACAAGAGUUAAGUAUCCAUUUUUGGUUGGUUGGUGGCUAUGCGAUCAACAUUUUGCUUAAAAAUGGAAUGUUUAUGUUAACAAAAAACAAUACAAAACAAGAAUAUUAGCAAAACUUAUAGAUACAUAAAGUGUUGAUUUACACUGAAGUUCGCCGCCGAUCGUAAGAAAGUGGAAUGCACAUUUUAAUUAAAACAAAUCAGAGAAAUUAUUACGUGGGAAUAACGAGGGGGGAAUCAGUAUAAACGCGUAGCAUACAAAAAUCAUUUAUACAAAAAUGCAAAAACAUACAUACGAUAUAAACGGAAAUAACGGAAAAUGAAAAUAAUAAACAAGGCCACAAACCUGUUUUCAGGCAGUUCACAAUAUUUAUCAAAAAUUGACCUCAACAAAAUUUGACGAACACAUUAAUGCAAAUAUUUGUAUGUACGUUUUACAUAUCUGCAUUUGAUAGUUAGAAUUUGUGCGCAAAACAAGAGCAUACAUACAUACAUACAUAUGUGUUAAAUAACAGUCUACUUACGUUAGAGUUAAGCGUAAAAAAA